AACGAACGCUGGCGGCAUGCUUAACACAUGCCAGUCGAACGGGAAGGCCCUGCUUUUGUGGGGUGCUCUAGGGGAGACCGGGUGAGUAACCCGUGGGUACCCUGCCCCUGACUUUGGGAUAAGUUAAUGAAACUGGGUCUAAUCCCGCCUAGGAGCUCCUGCUGCAUGGUGGGGGCUGGUUAGAUUAGGCGGUUGGGGGUGUAAUCGCGGCUGAUCAGCAUGUUGGUGGGGUAGUGGCUUACGAAGGCUUUGACGGGUAGCCGGCCUGAGAGGGUGACCGGCAACAGUGGGACUGGGAUACGGACCAGACUCCUACGGGAGGCAGCAGUGGGGGAGAUUGCACAAUGGGCGGAAGCCUGAUGCAGCAACGCCGCGGGCGGGAGGACGGCCUUCGGGUUGGAAACGGCAUGCGCCUGUGACGAAGAGGAAGUGACGGUAAUGGGGAAAGAAGCACCGGCUAACUACGGU
rnacentral:rRNA from 1 species